AACGAACGCUGGCGGCGUGGAUAAGACAUGCAAGUCGAACGGGACAAGUAGCAAUAUUUGUCUAGUGGCGAACGGGUGCGUAACACGUGGGCAACAUGCCUGGAAGAGCGGGAUAGCCCGGGGAAACUCGGAUUAAUACCGCAUGUGACAACGGGGCGGAUUCGCCCUGUUUUCAAAGGUGGGGACCGCAAGGCCUGCCGCUUCCAGAUUGGCCCGCGUCCUAUCAGCUAGUUGGCGGGGUAACGGCCCACCAAGGCGACGGCGGGUAGCUGGUCUGAGAGGACGACCAGCCACACUGGAACUGAGACACGGUCCAGACACCUACGGGUGGCAGCAGUCGAGAAUCUUUCACAAUGGGGAAAACCCUGAUGGAGCGACGCCGCGUGGAGGAUGACGGUCUUCGGAUUGUAAACUCCUGUCAUGAAAGAACAAGCGGAGCGGGUGAACAGCCCGCCGAGUUGAUAGUAUUUCAAGAGGAAGGGACGGCUAACUUCGUGCCAGCCGCCGCAGUAAUAC
rnacentral:rRNA from 1 species